CCUACGGGAGGCAGCAGUGAGGAAUAUUGGUCAAUGGGCGGAAGCCUGAACCAGCCAAGUAGCGUGCGGGAUGAAGGCCCUACGGGUUGUAAACCGCUUUUGCACGGGGAUAACACCCUCCACUUGUGGAGGUCUGCAGGUACCGUUCGAAUAAGGGCCGGCUAAUUCCGUGCCAGCAGCCGCGGUAAUACGGAAGGCCCGAGCGUUAUCCGGAUUCAUUGGGCUUAAAGGGAGCGUAGGCGGGUGUUCAAGCUAGCGGUAAAAUCGCGCGGCUCAACCGCGCCCCGCAGUUGAAACUGGACGCCUUGAGUUCACAACAGGCAGGCGGAAUUCGUGGUGUAGCGGUGAAAUGCAUAGAUAUCACGAGGAACCCCGAUUGCGAAGGCAGCCUGCCGGGGUGCGACUGACGCUGAGGCUCGAAGGUGCGGGUAUCAAACAGGAUUAGAUACCCUGGUAGUC
rnacentral:rRNA from 1 species